rnacentral:rRNA from 1 species
GUGUCAGCAGCCGCGGUAAGACGGAGGGUGCAAGCGUUGUUCGGAAUUACUGGGCGUAAAGCGUACGUAGGCGGCGGAUUAAGUCGAAUGUUAAAGCCUGGGGCUCAACCCCAGAGAUGCAUUCGAUACUGGUCUGCUAGAGGGUGAUAGAGGAAAGUGGAAUUCCGAGUGUAGCGGUGAAAUGCGUAGAUAUUCGGAGGAACAUCAGUAGCGAAGGCGACUUUCUGGGUCACACCUGACGCUGAGGUACGAAAGCGUGGGGAGCAAACGGGAUUAGAUACCCCCGUAGUCC